UACGUAGGGGGCAAGCGUUGUCCGGAAUUAUUGGGCGUAAAGAGCGUGUAGGCGGUUUGGUAGGUCCGUUGUGAAAACUCGAGGCUCAACCUCGAGACGCCGGCGGAAACCAUCAGGCUAGAGUCCGGAAGAGGAGAGUGGAAUUCCUGGUGUAGCGGUGAAAUGCGCAGAUAUCAGGAAGAACACCCGUGGCUAAGGCGGCUCUCUAGUACGGUACUGACGCUGAGACGCGAAAGCGUGGGGAGCGAACAGG
rnacentral:rRNA from 1 species